GACGAACGCUGGCGGCGUGCUUAACACAUGCAAGUCGAACGAUGAAGCCGGAGCUUGCUCUGGUGAAUUAGUGGCGAACGGGUGAGUAACACGUGAGUAACCUGCCCUUGACUCUGGGAUAACUGCGGGAAACUGUAGCUAAUACCGGAUACGACCCUCGGAGGCAUCUCCUGGGGGUGGAAAGAAUUUCGGUCAAGGAUGGACUCGCGGCCUAUCAGCUAGGUGGUGAGGUAAAGGCUCACCAAGGCGACGACGGGUAGCCGGCCUGAGAGGGUGACCGGCCACACUGGGACUGGGACACAGCCCAGACUCCUACGGGAGGCAGCAGUGGGGAAGAUUGCACAAUGGGCGCAAGCCUGAUGCAGCAACGCCGCGUGAGGGAUGACGGCCUUCGGGUUGUAAACCUCUUUUAGCAGGGAAGAAGCGAAAGUGACGGUACCUGCAGAAAAAGCACCGGCUAACUACGUGCCAGCCGCCGCUGUAA
rnacentral:rRNA from 1 species